UACGUAGGGCGCAAGCGUUGUCCGGAAUUAUUGGGCGUAAAGAGCUCGUAGGCGGUUUGUCGCGUCUGCUGUGAAAUUUCGGGGCUCAACCCCGAACUUGCAGUGGGUACGGGCAGACUAGAGUGUGGUAGGGGAGACUGGAAUUCCUGGUGUAGCGGUGAAAUGCGCAGAUAUCAGGAGGAACACCGAUGGCGAAGGCAGGUCUCUGGGCCAUAACUGACGCUGAGACGCGAAAGCGUGGGGAGCGAACAGG
rnacentral:rRNA from 1 species